GUCUUGGAAGUGGGAGAGAGGACCCCACUGUAGCCCCUCCAGGUCUGCAGAGGGUGAAGAACCCUCAGGAGCAGAGAUGGGAAGAUUGCCUGGCCCUGUGGAAGGGGUGAAAUGGAAGGAGGACUUCUAGUGACUGUGAUGUAAGGCAGGUCAAGGCUUUAAUGAAGACAGGCCAGAUCCACUGCCAACAUGAUCCUCCACUGCAGGACCUCAGUGGAGCACACCGAGAAUGGACAUACGCCACUUGACUCUUAAGCAUUCAUCUAGAAAAUGCCUAAACUUGUUUGGCUCCCUGACUCACAGUAAUUGUCUGCAAACUGAAUCCCUUCAAUGUGUUGUUUCACAUAUGCCCCUGCUCUCUACCACCAGGCCUGUUGGAUUGGUCAGCUGUCAUUUCUAAUCCACUGUGUCUGCCCAUUGCAUUCAUAAUCAUUCAACCUAUGCUUGCUCUUCUAGAGGGUGCACUGAAAACAGUUAUUUUUGAUUCACACUGACUCACAGGCCCAGCCUACAAAGUAAAAGUAUUUGUAACUAAGUUAGUGACAAAACAAAUUUGCUUCCAACACUGUAAUACAUUGCAAUGUACAUUUUUAUAUCACAUUGCUUUUGGGGGGUUUAACUUUGAUAGCACAGUGUAAUAAACCCACAACCACUUAAGAACUUAGUAGCUAUCAGUGCAUUGCAUAGCAUGGGUACUUGGAAUGUCAGUGGGCAAGGAUAGAAAUCAGAUCCUCCAAUUCUGGGCUUAGUCCAAAAUGACUUCAAUAGCAGGCUUCGGAUUAGGCCCUUGAUGCACAGACCUGUACACUACAUGAAGUAAAGAAAAAUCUCAAUUUGCUAUUAGCAGUAUAAGGCCUCUGACACAAACGAGCAGUUGUAAUUCCAUGCAGUAGAGGCCAGUGGUACAAAUACACACCAUCCAGUUCAUUACAAUAAUAAAUUCCUUUCCCUCCCCAGUGACAGUUAAAAUGGCAAAUACUAGAAUAUUUUUUAAAAUGCCUUUGACUAGUGUAUGGACAUGUGGUUAUAAUUAUUGUAUUUACAGAAGAAUCUGUUGUUCUCCUUUCUUCAUAUUUCUGGUGUCUCCCAGGAAAUAUGCCAAUUUGCGGGCAUUUUGCUCCAUAUUAGAGAGAACUUUCCUACAAGAAGGGCUCAUUGUCACAGAGCACCGGCAUGCUAGGAGUAGAAAAUUAAUAUC